rnacentral:rRNA from 1 species
ACCCGCACAAGCGAUGGAUGAUGUGGAUUAAUUCGAUGCAACGCGAAAAACCUUACCUACCCUUGACAUGUCUGGAACCUUGGUGAGAGCCGAGGGUGCCUUCGGGAGCCAGAACACAGGUGCUGCAUGGCUGUCGUCAGCUCGUGUCGUGAGAUGUUGGGUUAAGUCCCGCAACGAGCGCAACCCUUGUCACUAGUUGCCAUCAUUUAGUUGGGCACUCUAGUGAGACUGCCGGUGGCAAACCGGAGGAAGGUGGGGAUGACGUCAAGUCCUCAUGGCCCUUAUGGGUAGGGCUUCACACGUCAUACAAUGGUCGGUACAGAGGGUUGCCAAGCCGCGAGGUGGAGCCAAUCCCUUAAAGCCGAUCGUAGUCCGGAUCGUAGUCUGCAACUCGACUACGUGAAGUCGGAAUCGCUAGUGAUCGCAGAUCAGCAUGCUGCGGUGAAUACGUUCCCGGGUCUU